rnacentral:rRNA from 1 species
CCUACGGGCGGCAGCAGUGGGGGAUAUUGCACAAUGGGGGAAACCCUGAAGCAGCGACGCCGCGUGGGUGAAGAAGGGCCUCGGCGCGUAAAGCCCUGUCAGCAGGGAAGAAAAUGACGGUACCUGAAGAAGAAGCCCCGGCUAACUACGUGCCAGCAGCCGCGGUAAUACGUAGGGGGCAAGCGUUAUCCGGAUGUACUGGGUGUAAAGGGGGCGUAGGCGGGGUUGCAAGUCAGGAGUGAAAGCCUGGGGCCCAACCCCGGAACUGCUGUUGAAACUGCGUGGCUAGAGUGCGGGAGAGGUAGGCGGAAUGCGUGGUGUAGCGGUGAAAUGCGUAGAUAUCAGGAGGAACACCGAUUGCGAAGGCGGCCUGCUGG